rnacentral:rRNA from 1 species
AUUCCAGCUCCAGUAGCGUAUAUUAAAGUUGUUGCAGUUAAAAAGCUCGUAGUUGGAUUUCUGAUAGUAGCGUUGGGCCCGCCCGGGUUACCGGUGUGAGUGCCUGUUCGCUCCUUUCAUCCUUCUAGAGAACGGUUCUCUCCUUCAUUGGCAGUGGGAUCGCAAUCUAGAUCUUUUACUUUGAAAAAAUUAGAGUGUUUAAAGCAGGCUUGUGCUAUGAAUACAUUAGCAUGGAAUAAUAAUUUAGGACUUUAGUUCUAUUUUGUUGGUUUCUAGAACUGAAGUAAUGAUUAACAGGGACAGUCAGGGGCACUCGUACUCCGCCGAGAGAGGUGAAAUUCUCAGACCAGCGGAAGACGAACCACUGCGAAAGCAUUUGCCAGGGAUGUUUUCAUCA